rnacentral:rRNA from 1 species
AUUGAACGCUGGCGGCAGGCCUAACACAUGCAAGUCGAACGAGUGGCGGACUGGUGAGUAAUGUCUGGGAAACUGCCUUAUGGAGGGGGAUAACUACUGGAAACGGUCGCUAAUACCGCAUACCAUCGGAUGUGCCCAGAUGGGAUUAGCUAGUAGGUGGGGUAACGGCUAACCUAGGCGACGAUCCCUAGCUGGUCUGAGAGGAUGACCAGCCACACUGAAACUGAGGAACGGUCCAGACCCCUCCGGGAGGCAGAAGUGGGGAAUAUUGCACAAUAGGCGUAAGCCUGAUGCAGCCAUGCCGCGUGUAUGAAGAAGGCCUUCGGGUUGUAAAGUACUUUCAGCUGGGAGGCGUUACCCGCAGAAGAAGCACCGGCUAACUCCGUGCCAGCAGCCGCGGUAAUAC